GUCUGGAAAUCCUGGCCUCAAGUGAUCUUCCUGCCUCAGCCUCCCAAAGUUCUGGGAUUACAGGUGUGAGCCACCCGCUCUGGCACUUACCUCUUUCAAAUGAGAGUAACAAUUAUUCCUGCUUCAUAGAGUCACCUCCUCUGGUCUGUCUUCCCUGACCCUGUCAUCUCAGGAAAGAAUUAACCUCCUCUUCAUUUUAGUGCUUAUCUACUUUGCUCGGACCAAUGUGUGCGUCACACUCUACUGUAAUUGUUUGUUUAUUUGUCUGCCCCACCUACUGAAUAGUUAAUAUCUCAAGGACAGGGACAAUAUCAUAGUUUUGAGUCCCUUAUCCCUAGAUCACCUGUUGGACUGAAUUUCCACAACUACCACCCACCUUUCUCGAGAGUCUCUCAAUUGUAGCUGCUUUACAUCCAUAAAGCCACCCACAUCAUCCACUUGGAUUUCAAAUCACUUGAGUAAAACUGAGGGGGUAACAUACUAGGGAUCCUACUCACCUUAGACAGGAGAACACAGAAAUGCUUCUGGUCAUGGUAUUCAAGCUUUGUCCCAUCAAACCAUACUAACCAGGCCAUCCUAAGUCUAAGGGAUGGACAAGAACUUCUGCUGAUGAUUCAGCCAAAAUAUCUAUGACAUCUUACAAGAGGUUUCCAUUUCUACACCAGAAUUUAGACAGGAGGUGAACUGUGAGUUGAUUUCCGGAAGAGUGGCUCUGAAUGGGGGGCGGGGUUGUUGGAGACAUGCUGUCGAGAGGUGUCUGAGUCUGCAGAAUUUGUGAUGAUAGCCGGUUCCUUGGAUAGUACUCUUCCUCAUCCUCUUCCAAAUCUCAUGGUCUAUUACAGCUUAGGUGUCCAGAGAUUCGUUUGUGCUGAAUAUUAUUUGGAACAUUGAAUCAAGCAUACAUCUUUUUAAUAGUUAGGGUUAUCCCUCUCUCCGGGGAUAAUUUCACCUGGGACAUUGAGGAAAUGGAGCUUGGAGUAUGUGCACUUCCUGUCAUCAAAGAGAGGAGGAGAGGGCGAGCACAUUCCGAGUGUGAGCAAGCGGAACCCCUCCUACAGAUGUGCCUUUCACUCUCAUUUCCUGCUCCAGACCAACCCUUCGGAGAUUAUUUUCAGGGAGAUCUCCCUCUUCUUGUGAGGCCAGAGACUUUUCUAGUUAUAAGGCUGGUGCAUGUGACGUGUCUGGGCAAGCAUACAGCAAAACCACAGAGAAACCAGGGAUUAAAGAAAUGAAACUGGGCAAACUAAAAAACGCCUUUUGCAGAACUUCUCUUAAGCUUGAGAUAAACACCUCCACCUUCCCUCCUCCCUCUUCAAGUUCACAGUUUAUUUUUCACUGUGUUCAGCUUGUGGCAGUAACCUCUACUAGAGAGAAGGGAAAAUGAGUUGUCCUAAUGAGGUGGCUUCCCUAAGCAGCACAAUCCUCUGAGUUCAGGACUGAAAGAAAGUGAGAAGAAUCCCUCCUGGGAUGAGAUCUUAAAAGGCAAGGAAACAACGGCCUCAGUCAUUUGAGGAUGAGUGCAUUUUCCCAGUGGGUGCAUUGAGAACCAUCUUCCUUCAGGCAUACUCUGUGGACUUGUGAUUUCGGCACUGGCCCAGUCUAAGUCACAAAGAGCAGACAACUCUGUCCCCUUUUCCAGAAAUAUCAGACUUAUGGGAAGAUUUCUUCUGCAGAUUCCUGUCUUCUUUCUCUUACCUGUAAUGAAUCAUAUCUGAAUGAUGCUUCCACCGGCCAAGUUCCAAGUGCCAUCUUUUCCUUCAAGGAAAAGGCCCAUAAGUCCUCUCAAGCGAUUCUCAGCCUUGGCAUAUGCAGUGGCUUCAUUCAGAUUCCAGCAAAAAGGAAUUGGCAGGGCAUGAAUAAGGGCAGAAGGUAAUUGAGGAGCCGGGGCUGGUUUUAAGGCAGUACAGAGCCCAGCUCCACGAGCUGAGCUGGAAGGAAUUUGCUGUCUGUGCCAGAGGUCAUAAAGAGCUGCUGAGCUAGUUGAGCUUUCUAGUGCUCAGAAGCAAAUCGAUCAGAUGAGCUGCAACUGUGGCUCUGCCACAGACCAUGAGCUAAUGCAGGCUGUACCCAGUGAGCCAGUGCCGCGGGCACUGGAGCCGGCAGUGGGAGAGGGUGAGCCGACAUAGCUAAUGCCUAACGCCAGGAGGGAGAGACAAAGGGGCCUCUUCUUUAACACUGUGAAUAGCCCCAGAGUGAAUACAGCCUUCGACAGCUGUGGUUUCAUUCUCAUCACCGCUGGGCGAGUUGGGGGUGCUAAUUGUGAAGCUGGAGAGCUGUUAAAAUCAGACCAGAUUUGUUAAAGGAGAGGAGUAAGAUGAUACUUCAGACCAGUAUCUGCAGUGGCACAGGCACAAAAGCCCUAUCUCAGGAGAAGGAAUGAAAGGAAGGCAAAAAGGCCGUGAGAAAAUGAAAGAAGCUGGUUGAUUGACCCCUCCUCUGUGUCGCCUCAGCAACUUGUCCAUAUCAUUGUUACAGCACUUACCACACAGUUGUAAGACGGUACUGCAAGCUUACUUUCCAACGUGGCUGCAUCGUUUCACAUUCCCACCAGCAGUAUGAGGUUUCCAAUUUCUCUGCAUCCUCAUCAAAACUUGUUAUUAUCUGUCUUUUUUAUUUUAGACGUUCUAGAAGGUGUGGAGUGGUAUCUCAUUGUGGUAUUGAUUUGCAUUUCCUUAAGGACUAAUGCUUUUGAACAUUUUUUCAUGUGCUUAUUGGCCAUUUGUAUAUCUUCUCUGGAGAAAUGUUUAUUCAAAUCCUUUGUCCAUUUUUUAAUUGGAUUGUCUUUUUAUUGUUGCAUGGUAUAAGUUCUCUAUAUAUUCUGGACACAAGUCUCUUAUUAGUUAUACCAUUUGCAAAUAUUUUCUCCCAUUCUGUGCGUUGUCUUUUAACCUUUCUAAUGUGUCCAUUGAAACACAAAAGUUUUUAAUUUUCACAAAGUUCAAUUUAUCUACUUUUUUCUUUUGUCACUUAUUUGUAUCAUAUCUGAGAAACCAUUACCUAAUCCAAGGUCAGGAAGGAUUACUCCUAUGUUCUCUUUUGAGAGUUUUAUUGUUUUUACUCUUAUAUUUAAGUUGAAUAUCCAUUUUGAGUUAGUUAAUUUUUGUAUAUAGUAUGACAUAGGAUCGAGAGGAUCUUGUUAAUCACUUUUUCCUGAUAUACAUCAGCUUCAAAUGUGAAGCUAUAAAUCUCCCUGUAGGUUUCCUGAAAGCCCUCAUUAUAUAAAGCAACUUCUGUGACAAAUUUGACUUGAUUAAUUAAUUAAUUAGAGACACAGUCUUGCUCUGUCCCCCAGACUGGAGUGCAGUGGUGCCAUCUUGGAUCACAGCAACCUUCAACUCUCAGGUUCAAGCAAUUCUAGUGCCUCAGCUUCCCAAGUAGCUAGGAUCACAGGUGUGCACCAGCAUGCCUGGCUACUUUUUGUAUUUUUAGUAGAGGCAUGUUUUUGCCAUGUUAGCCAGACUGGUCUCUAACUCCUGGCCUCAAGUCUUCCCCUGCCUUGGCCAACCAAAGUGCUGGGAUUACUGGUGUGAACCACCGUGCCUAGUCAUGAUAAUUUAUUGAGUGGAGUUCUGUUCAAGAUGAUGGAGGGCUAACAGCAGCAAAAGCCAGGCUCACUGGCUCUUGCCUGUAAUCCUAGCACUUUGGGAGGCCUAGUUGGUUAGGUAGAUCACCUGAGCUCAGGAGUUCGAGACCAGCCUAGCCAACAUGGCGAAACCCUGUCUCUACUAAAAAUACAAAAAUUAGCCGGGCAUAGUGGUGGAUGCUAAUAAUCCCAGCUACUCUGGAGGCUGAGACAGGAGAAUUGCUUGAACCUGGGGGCGGAGGUUGCAGUGAGCUGAGAUUGCGCCACUUCACUUCAGCCUGAGUGACAGAGUGAAAUUCCAUCUUAAAAGAAAAAAAAAAAAAAAAGGAAAGAAAGCAGCAAAGAGAAUUUUUUGGCAAGAUUAUGAGCCAAUUUUAAGAGCUUUUAUUACAUUUCAAAUGUGAUUUUAAAUUCUCAAAGUUGGACAGAUAGCAGGGAAAGAAUGGUCACAGACUUUUCCCUAAUAUUUUAAGUUGCUUCAAACCAGUUAUUAAAUCUUAUAUGUAUUUUUUAAAGACUUAUUCCACAGGGGUUUGAUUAAUUUACACAGACUUCUUCCAAAACUGUAUCUAAACCACAUUGUUGAUAUCUAAGAAACUCUAUGAGCUUCUUCAAAAGCCCUCUUAAAAAUACAACAAAAUCAUGUUAGCAACUCCAGAUUCCAAGUUGAAAUCCUCCCGCUUUAGUAUAAGAACCAUCAGUUUUGAAUGAGUCUGGAUACGAAAACCUAUUUUCCCAUUUUGAGGAGAAAAUCCCUUUUUAGAGACUCUUUCUUGAAUGGAUAUUUGUUAUAACAUAUUUGGGCUUAGGGCUAAAACCUUUGGUUUGUAAGCUGAGGUUUUCAUUUGCACUUACCAUCAACAGCGUAUAAGUUGAAAAGAAUCUCAGGUCUGGUUGCUGUCCUGAGCUACUGCAAAGAAGAAACCACUGAGAAUAAGAGCAUUUCAAUUAUUGUACAUCACAUUUGCUAUUUGCUGCCGUUAUUCUUCUAUUAAAGGAGGAUAAUCAACUGAUAUGAUAUUGUAGAUCUCAGUGCCUAGUGCAUUGUAGGUCCUCAAUAUAUGUUGAUUCUUCUUUUCUUUACAUAUUUUUGAGGUACAGAAAGAAGUUCUUAAAAUGGUUUUUAACUGUAAUCAUUUUGGAAAAUUAGCUAUGAAGAUGGAAAUUUGUGAACAAAGGAGAACUUGCAAAUGCCAUUUUACUGAGCAUGUUACUGAAUGGUUAUAUAAGGAGUAAAUAUUCUCUCAGCCUUAGUAAGUAAAUAUGAACCAAUAAGAACACAGGUGAGGACUCUUUUCCUAACCAGAAUAGAUGGCUAAGGUUUACAGGGCAAUAAAUUAGACUAUUUGUAUCCAAAGCAAUAUUGUUGUCACCACCAAUUGUAAUAAGCAUUUUUAUAAUUUAUGCCUUUAAUGUGUUUAUUAUGAAAAAGCUUCUAAGUAUAUUGCACAAGUGGUAAUCUGCUCCAGAACUGGAAAUUUGGGAGACUUGGUUUUUGGACUCAGCCUAUUCACUAUUAUUUGGUUGAUAGGUUUAUUAUUAUUAUUAUUAUUAUUUUUUAAAGGCCUGAGACAGUAGAGACUUUCUAAUAAAAUAUGCUGCAGUGAUGAAAAUUA